UGCCAGCAGCCGCGGUAAUACGGAGGGAGUAAGCGUUGUUCGGAUUUACUGGGCGUAAAGCGCGCGUAGGUUGUUUUGUAAGUCAGAAGUGAAAUCUUCGGGCUCAACUCGAAAAUGGCUUUUGAAACUGCAAGACUAGAGACCGGCAGAGGAUGGCGGAAUUCCCCAUGUAGAGGUGAAAUUCGUAGAUAUGGGGAGGAACACCAGAGGCGAAGGCGGCCAUCUGGACCGGUACUGACACUGAGGCGCGAAAGCGUGGGGAGCAAACAGGAUUAGAUA
rnacentral:rRNA from 1 species